AGAGAAUAAAGUCAUGGGAUCGCAUGGAUGAGGGAGAGGGAGGAGUCCAGUUGCUGCCCGCAUCUGUCCCCAGGAAUCAGGCCCCUGCUGGGCUCUGUGGCAUGGAGGUACUGGCCUACAGAGGGAGACGGACGGAGGGUCCGGGGAGCCAUAGCUGACAUCUAGAAGGAUGGGUCACUCCACCGAGGAGGUGGGGACACUGUGGUAAAGAAGUGGCUAUGGAGGUUGCCAAGACCGUUCAAUGGGGAGAGAAGAGCCUUUCAACAAAUGGUGCUGGGACAACUGGAUACACACCUGCAAAAGAAUGAAGUCGGACCCCUACUUCACACCAUAUACAAAAAUUAACUUUAAAUAGAUUGAAGACCUAAAUGUAAGAACUAAA